AACUACUUCCCUAUUCUGGAUAUGUAAUUAACCCUAACCAAGUAUUUUCUCAUUUGUACUUAAUUUAAUUUGAUACAUUAGACAGCCAGUGAAAUUAGACAUCAAACUAGGUCUUGACUGGUAAUGGAAGUUACAUCACCUUUACCAAUGAAGUGACUAUUACAGGUCACUUUGUAAUUUCAUAUUUUUCCCUUUCACUUCCUGUACCCUCAGUGCAUAAAAUGUAUCUCUAACUUGAUUUUACAAGGUUAUUUUUGGAUUAGUUUCUCAAAACAGGCAUUCCCAAAUUUGCCUAAUUGAACUGAUGCCAUGAAUAUAAAAAC
rnacentral:lncRNA from 1 species